CUUUUUUUAAAAAUAUAAUCGGACAAAAAUAUAUAGUUUUGGUUAUUAUUAUUAUUUAUUUAUUUAUGAAAACCCGUAUCCAUCAUUGUUUGAUUGUGUGUCCAUGCUUUAGAAAGGAGGUUAAGUUAAAAAAUGUCAAAAGAUUAUUUUCAAUAAAUUAAACUUUAGAAACAAACACAGAACAACACACUUAAACCAGAAG
rnacentral:lncRNA from 1 species